UAUCAAUCUAGGUGAUUUCUGUAUGGGUAAGGAGAGGAAUAAUUUUUCCAUCAUCUUUCAAAAACAAAUAACGUUAUAGAAGUAACUCACUCGCCCCGUGUGUCAGACACAGCGCUUCGGUAAAGCCGCAUCUUUUCUCCAAAAGUCACCGUUAAUUCUCCUCAUAACGGUAAACAGAUCAUCACGUUCCCGCGCGCUCUCCGAAGAAAUGAACCUCGCGCGCCGCCCGAUCUCUGACUGACGUUAGUGUUUACGUAAUGACGUGUUUAAGAAACACAUUCAUAUUCCAGAUAAUAACACCUACAGUAAUAUAAAUUACUGACACUCUUGUUUUUGAAUGAUAUUAGUAUUAUUAUUUUUUCAAAACAACCUCAAAACAAAGCGGAAAUUAAAUGCGCGCUGUUCCAAAAAAAAAAAAAAAAAAAAAAAAAAAAAAAAAAAAGAAAAAGAAGAAAAAGCGCGCGAGCGGCUCGAGUGUGACGUCACAGCGCCGCGGCUAUAUAAAGCCCUGCUCAGGAUUCUAACGGCAGACGCGGAUCUGGUUGAGCGAGUGUUUCGAUCACUGACCUAAACUCUUCAGAUUCACGAGAUUUACACACAGUCUUUUCAGACUAUUCGCAGUUUACACACAUUGUGUCAUCAGUAUAAUCAGAGGAUGUCUACAACAGCUGAGCGCAGAGAAUCUGAGCGUGCGCCUGUCGCUCGAGCGGCCUGGGCUUCGAGAGAAUCGAGCUUCAAGAGAAUCGAUCUGAACGAAGAAAUGAAGCACCGCUCAGCAGACAAAGGGAAGAAGGUGAAAGCGGUGCGUGUCUUCCUCCAGAAGCUGUGUCCAGACAGAGUGCUGCGUCUCUCAGCACAGACGGACGCUCAUCUGGACCACCCCGAGGUGACGGCUGUCCCGGGUCCCUCGGCCGCUCCGGAGCUGCUGUGUCUGCCGGGUCAGGUGUGUGAAGAUCCGGAGAUCAGAGAGCCAACGCUUCGUCCGGAUCCAUCCGCUCUCAGCCUCGCUCACAAUGUGAGGAAGAGGAGAGCAGUGUGUGUGUUCUUCCGGAGAGCGUGUGAGUGUGUGAAGCAGCUCUUCCCGUGCUGUGACCCGGACAGAGUCCAGCCUCCUAAAGCAGAGCCGGACCUGGACCGACCCCAGCUCGUUCUGCCGGAGCAGGACCUCCAGUCGUCUCCUGAGGAAGAAGCUCCCUCCGAGAUCCAGCCCCACGAUGCAGUUCUGUCCGGUUCAGUGUCCGGUCCAGUGUCCGGUCCAGUGGUCAGUAAUAUUUCAAGUUCGGUGUCGAUCGGGUCAGAAACAGCACCGGACACAGUGUUGCCUGAUCCAGAAAUCCAGCUGCCUCAAGGAUCCAUCGUGUCUUUGUUUGAAGUGGGACAUCUGAUCGCGUCCGGGAACUUCAGCAAGGUCUACGAGGGGACACACAUAUUCAGCGACAAAGUGAAGGUUGCUCUGAAGUGUGUCCCCAAGCGCAGAGCGGACCGCUACCUCGACAUUGUAAGCUGGCUAAACCUGAAGAAUAUUUGGUGUUUGAUAACCUGUAGCUGAAGACGGUUGUUGUGUUGGUCUCUUCUCAGCCUGGUCACUCCAGACCGGUGCUUGCUGAAGUGGCUCUGAUGCUGCGGCUGGGAGAAGCUCCCUCGUGCCCCAACAUCACGGAGCUACACCAGUGGCUGGAGGACGAGAGCAGCUUCACUCUCAUCAUGGAGUACCCUGAACCCUGCCGGACCUUGGAGGAUUACGUCUUGUUCUCCGGCCCCGUUAGUGAAGCACAAGCACGCUUGUUCAUGCUUCAGGUGCUUCAAGCAGUCAAACACUGCCAUGAGCGUGGAGUUUAUCACGGUGAUAUCCGCUCGAGGAACAUCCUGGUGACUCUCCACAGUCUGGAGCUCAAGCUCAUCGACUUCCGCUGCGCUCGUCUGAUCAGCAGCGAGGGCUUUGACAGCAGCCAGUACCAGGGAUCAGACGCAUACACCCCUCCUGAGGUCCUCGGCCAGUCCAUCUUCCACGCCGCAGCAGCAGACGUCUGGGCGCUGGCAGUUCUGCUCUUCGAGAUCAUUCACAGAUAUCUGCCCUUCGAAAGCUUUGAUGCCAUUCAGCACGGCUACGUCCGGAUGGAUCCCACCUUAUCCACAGGUGACCGCACAAACAGCUCCACACGAUGAUGUUUACUGUUCAUGUGUGAUGUGCGGAGACUAACCGCGCUCUCUCUGAACUCUCCCCAGCGUGCCAUGACCUGAUUUUCCACUGCUUGAGCCGAAAUCCAGCUCACCGGCUGACGCUCCAGCAGCUGGAAGAGCACCGCUGGAUGAAGGCCUAGACUGGAGAAGACAGGGAUCCCGAUGUGCACCAGACAGAGUUUACUGUCUCCAGGAGUCUCAGGAGAUGCAGCGAGACUCUGGACUCGUCUCUGAUCGAUCAAACACAGAGAAACACAAGAACGUGCUGUCUGGAGAAAUCAGGAAGAUCAGAAGAAAUUCUACAAUUACAAAUUCAGAAGUGCAUGUAAACACAAUGCUCUUAAUUAGUGCUUCACAAAUUAUUAACGUAAGGAAUAUAAAAAAACUACUUUUAUAUAAUAUUUCAGAAAGUAAAUGUAGUCACUAAUUGGUGGCUUAUUAGUGACAUUAAUGUAAAAAAAAAGGAAAAAAAAAAAGGAAAAGAAGCUAUUUUUAAAUAAUAUUUCAGGAAGUAAAUCAUUUUUUUAAAUAAUAUUUCAGAAAGUAAAUGUAGUCAUUAAUUGGUUUAUUAGUAACAUUCACAUAAGAAAUGUAAAAAAAAGCUAUUUUUUUAAUAAUAUUUCAAAAAGUAAAUGCUAUUUUUUAUAAUAUUUGAUCAAGUAAAUUCUAUUUUUGUAUCAUAUUUCAGAAAGUAAAUGCUAUUUUUUUUUAUAAUAUUUAAGUAAAUAUAGUCACUAAUAGGUGCUUUAUUAGUGACAUUAAUGUAGGAAAUGUAAAAAAAAUGCUAUUUUUAUAAUAUUUCUGAACACUGCUCAUAACUAAUCAUGUAUUAUUUUGUAAUAAUUUAUAAAUGUAUUAAAAAUGAAUAAAUAAACCAAAUUACUGUAUGUGAGACA
ensembl:lncRNA